rnacentral:lncRNA from 1 species
UGACAAUAAUUUUUUAUUACUAUUAUUAUUUUAUGUAUUUAUUUUUUAAAGUAUCAUUCUUUGAAUUUAUUUCUUUAUACAUUUAAUUUCAUUUAUAAUUUAUUGACCUGUAUUCAGAUUUUUUUUUUACAUGUUUUCAUCUGAAACAUUCAAGUUCAAACAAACAUUUAUUUUGUGUGUGUUCUUUACAAUUGAGAUCAGUGCUAGACUCCAACUGCCCCCCCCCCCCCCUCCUCUGUUCUAGAGUCAGAUGUACGUGGGCUGCUUGGUUCAGUACAUUCCUCUUCAUUGGAAGCAGUUUGAAGAACACAACAUGCUCUGCUGUUCCAUCCUCACUACCCUCAUCCAUCUCGUAUGGGUGCGACAUGCCCGAGGGGCCAGGAAUGAAACCGGUCUGGGAGCAGAAAGCAAGAUUCCUUCCUCCUACCUGUUAUCCAGCUCAGCACAGAGGUUUCUCAGCCCCCUCAUGUUUACCUGCUGGAAGACGGUCUGGAGCUGUGAAACUGAGCUUGGAGAACGUGCGGACAUGUUUUCAGACCAUCAAUGCCUACAUUUAUCUCUCUGCUACAGAUUUCUUACAGAUUGCCUGAAGAAAAGACUUCAAAUAAGUAGACAUUUAAGGAAUGGCUGUGUGAACAUAACCUUAUUUGCACUUUCUCGAAAGAUGAAUGUGGCAUAA